GGGACAGAAAAUUAUGGUGUUUGUGAUUUCAUGUUAGCCGCAAGAUCAGAAAUUUGCAAUCCAUUUAUCGCCGGCAAGUCGGUGCAUAAUCAGAGGGUCGAGCGUUCCUGGCGUGAUUUGUUUGAAGCUGCUCUUGAACCAUUCCACAUAAUGUUAUAUUCAUGAGAGACCAAUGGCCAUUUAAAUCCAUCGUCCUUGAUGGAUCUAGUGUCCCUCCACAUAACGUGCCGUCCGUUGUUGAUUAGAACUGUCGAUCCCUUCGCCCAGGGAUGGAAUAACCAUCCUCUAAGCACAGAACAUAACGAAACUCCCAAACGCCUAUUUCACGGGAAGCUUUGAAGGAGACGGACGACGAAUGCGAUCUUUUAAAACAGGACGUCGGAAAAAUGCAAGAAGCUGUAAGGAAGUUGCCAACAUACCCGACCGAUGAAUGCAGCAUUGACGAUUUCUUGAUGCGAGAAGAAAUGAGAAAUUUGAACUUUGAUGCGAAUGUAGUUACUCUUGAAAAUGCAUUUGCGAUGUAUAUGAAUGUCAAAGCAGCAUUAUAAAUGUUCUGUUUUUGAUAAAUUCAUUUCCAUUUAACUGUUUA